UCAGACAACAAUUCUCCUCUUUUACCAGCCUACUAGUAUCCAUGGGGAUCCAUAGGGAGUCCCCGCUACACGUGAACCAUUAACAUUAAUAACCUGAUUCCAGGGCCGUCCCCAUACCCCGUCCGGUAUGGGCGCCAAAACCAUAAACCUCAAUACCCCGUCCGGUAUGAGGGUGAAACGGGCCGUCCCCAUACCCCGUCUGAUAUGAGAGACCACGUUCCCCGUAGGGUUCCCUACGGAUCCGAUCCGUCCACCAUCUUCCAGUAUAUCUAGUCAGACUACCCACGUUAUCCAUUUAUCAAUUCACAUAACCUUUUUUCCAUUUUUCUUGGUCUCAAUUAUCCAAUCAUACACAAACACGUAAACCAAUAAUGAACACCAAACAAAACAACACAACAUCAGGUUCACCAUAAUUUAAACCAUAAUAAAAGAAACCAUGAUUCAUGCAUACGA
rnacentral:lncRNA from 1 species